rnacentral:rRNA from 1 species
GACGAACGCUGGCGGCGUGCCUAAUACAUGCAAGUCGAGCGAGCGGAACUAACAGAUUUACUUCGGUAAUGACGUUAGGAAAGCGAGCGGCGGAUGGGUGAGUAACACGUGGGGAACCUGCCCCAUAGUCUGGGAUACCACUUGGAAACAGGUGCUAAUACCGGAUAAGAAAGCAGAUCGCAUGAUCAGCUUUUAAAAGGCGGCGUAAGCUGUCGCUAUGGGAUGGCCCCGCGGUGCAUUAGCUAGUUGGUAAGGUAAAGGCUUACCAAGGCGAUGAUGCAUAGCCGAGUUGAGAGACUGAUCGGCCACAUUGGGACUGAGACACGGCCCAAACUCCUACGGGAGGCAGCAGUAGGGAAUCUUCCACAAUGGACGCAAGUCUGAUGGAGCAACGCCGCGUGAGUGAAGAAGGUUUUCGGAUCGUAAAGCUCUGUUGUUGGUGAAGAAGGAUAGAGGUAGUAACUGGCCUUUAUUUGACGGUAAUCAACCAGAAAGUCACGGCUAACUACGUGCCAGCAGCCGCGGUAAUACGUAGGUGGCAAGCGUUGUCCGGAUUUAUUGGGCGUAAAGCGAGCGCAGGCGGAAGAAUAAGUCUGAUGUGAAAGCCCUCGGCUUAACCGAGGAACUGCAUCGGAAACUGUUUUUCUUGAGUGCAGAAGAGGAGAGUGGAACUCCAUGUGUAGCGGUGGAAUGCGUAGAUAUAUGGAAGAACACCAGUGGCGAAGGCGGCUCUCUGGUCUGCAACUGACGCUGAGGCUCGAAAGCAUGGGUAGCAAACAGGAUUAGAUACCCUGGUAGUCCAUGCCGUAAACGAUGAGUGCUAAGUGUUGGGAGGUUUCCGCCUCUCAGUGCUGCAGCUAACGCAUUAAGCACUCCGCCUGGGGAGUACGACCGCGAGGUUGAAACUCAAAGGAAUUGACGGGGGCCCGCACAAGCGGUGGAGCAUGUGGUUUAAUUCGAAGCAACGCGAAGAACCUUACCAGGUCUUGACAUCUAGUGUCAUUUGUAGAGAUACAAAGUUCCCUUCGGGGACGCUAAGACAGGUGGUGCAUGGCUGUCGUCAGCUCGUGUCGUGAGAUGUUGGGUCAAGUCCCGCAACGAGCGCAACCCUUGUUAUUAGUUGCCAGCAUUAAGUUGGGCACUCUAAUGAGACUGCCGGUGACAAACCGGAGGAAGGUGGGGAUGACGUCAAGUCAUCAUGCCCCUUAUGACCUGGGCUACACACGUGCUACAAUGGGCAGUACAACGAGAAGCGAGCCUGCGAAGGCAAGCGAAUCUCUGAAAGCUGUUCUCAGUUCGGACUGCAGUCUGCAACUCGACUGCACGAAGCUGGAAUCGCUAGUAAUCGCGGAUCAGCACGCCGCGGUGAAUACGUUCCCGGGCCUUGUACACACCGCCCGUCACACCAUGGGAGUCCGCAAUGCCCAAAGCCGGUGGCCUAACCUUCGGGAAGGAGCCGUCUAAGGCAGGGCAGAUGACUGGGGUGA